CUUUCGGGGAGGACGCUCACCACUUUGUGGUUCAUGACUGGGGUGAAGUCGUAACAAGGUAGCCCUAGGGGAACCUGGGGCUGGAUCACCUCCUUAUACGAAGAUA
rnacentral:rRNA from 1 species